rnacentral:rRNA from 1 species
GACGAACGCUGGCGGCGUGCUUAACACAUGCAAGUCGAACGGAAAGGCCCUGCUUUUGUGGGGUGCUCGAGUGGCGAACGGGUGAGUAACACGUGAGUAACCUGCCCUUGACUUUGGGAUAACUUCAGGAAACUGGGGCUAAUACCGGAUAGGAGCUCCUGCUGCAUGGUGGGGGUUGGAAAGUUUCGGCGGUUGGGGAUGGACUCGCGGCUUAUCAGCUUGUUGGUGGGGUAGUGGCUUACCAAGGCUUUGACGGGUAGCCGGCCUGAGAGGGUGACCGGCCACAUUGGGACUGGGAUACGGCCCAGACUCCUAGGGGGGGAAGGGGUGGGGAAUAUUGCAAAAGGGGGGGAGGCCGGAGGGAGCAACGCCGGGGGGGGGAUGACGGCCUUCGGGUUGGAAACCGCUUUCGCCUGGGACGAAGGGGGGGGGAGGGUAAUGGGUAAAGAAGCACCGGCUAAAUACGG